rnacentral:rRNA from 1 species
AUACGGAGGGAGCAAGCGUUAUUCGGAAUCACUGGGCGUAAAGGACGCGUAGGCGGGUUUGUAAGUCAGGUGUGAAAUCCUACAGCUCAACUGUAGAACUGCACUUGAAACUACAGACCUAGAGUAUGGAAGGGGCAGAUGGAAUUAGUGGUGUAGGGGUAAAAUCCGUAGAUAUCACUAGGAAUACCGAAAGCGAAGGCGAUCUGCUGGGACAUUACUGACGCUGAGGCGUGAAAGCGUGGGGAGCAAACAGGAUUAGAAACCCGGGUAGUCC